GAACAUUUGGUUAGUAAAAACACACACUUUCUCAAAACCACUCAAACGCUCAAUAGCAAAAACAGUAACACUUACUUAUACUAAUACAUUUACUUGAAACUAUUAGUAUAUAUCUCUAACUAUUUUGUAUGUUGUGUCUUUUUUCUUUCUUUUGUUGUCUCUACAAAAUCAGUUAGUAAAGUCAGUUUUACAACAAGUGAGACCUUUAUUCCUGACCUGUUAAACUCAGCCUCAGCUGUCUUUAUUGAUCGAGCACAACGUGUUAAAUCACAGUUUGAACCAGUCUUCAAAGCAACAUUCACCAGUUUCCACAGUCUAACUGUCAUUAAUUUUGUCGCUGGAUCAAUCAUCACAAACAUGGAUUUAGAGUUCAGAGAUAAUCUUCCCAAUGACACUGCAAUCAUUAACACCAUACUUUAUGCAAAUACAAGUUUUGAGA